UACGUAGGUGGCGAGCGUUGUCCGGAUUUACUGGGCGUAAAGCGCACGCAGGCGGUCGUUCAAGUCGAAUGUGAAAGCCCCCGGCUCAACUGGGGAGGGUCAUUCGAUACUGAUCGACUCGAAGGCAGGAGAGGGAAGCGGAAUUCCCGGUGUAGUGGUGAAAUGCGUAGAUAUCGGGGGGAACACCAGUGGCGAAGGCGGCUUCCUGGCCUGUUCUUGACGCUGAUGUGCGAAAGCUAGGGGAGCAAACGGG
rnacentral:rRNA from 1 species